CCUACGGGAGGCAGCAGUGGGGAAUAUUGCACAAUGGGCGAAAGCCUGAUGCAGCAAUGCCGCGUGUGUGAAGAAGGCCUGCGGGUUGUAAAGCACUUUCAGUAGGGAGGAUUAUGACGUUACCUACAGAAGAAGCACCGGCUAACUCCGUGCCAGCAGCCGCGGUAAUACGGAGGGUGCGAGCGUUAAUCGGAAUUACUGGGCGUAAAGCGCGCGUAGGCGGUUUUGUAAGUCGGAUGUGAAAGCCCCGGGCUUAACCUGGGAAUUGCAUUCGAUACUGCAUAACUAGAGUAUGGUAGAGGGAAGUGGAAUUUCCGGUGUAGCGGUAAAAUGCGUAGAUAUCGGAAGGAAUACCAGUGGCGAAGGCGGCCUCCUGGACCGACACUGACGCUGAGACGCGAAAGCGUGGGGAGCAAACAGGAUUAGAUACCCUGGUAGUCCACGCCGUAAACGAUGGGUACUAGGUGUCGCGGGUAUUGACCCCUGCGGUGCCAAAGCCAACGCGUUAAGUACCCCGCCUGGGGAGUACGGCCGCAAGGCUAAAACUCAAAUGAAUUGACGG
rnacentral:rRNA from 1 species